GAGGGAGCUCGGCCGCCAUUUUGUACCUCUUCGCUCGGUCCGGGGCGGUCGCGCGGGCGCUGCGGUUCUGAGGGAGCGCUCGGCUCUCCUGCUCUGUAGCUCGGGGUCGCUACCACAGCCAUGGGACGUAAGAAGAAGAAGCAGCUGAAGCCUUGGUGCUGGUAUUGUAAUAGGGAUUUUGACGAUGAAAAAAUCCUUAUACAGCAUCAGAAAGCAAAGCACUUUAAAUGCCAUAUAUGUCAUAAGAAACUGUAUACAGGACCUGGUUUAGCUAUACAUUGCAUGCAGGUACAUAAGGAAACAAUAGAUGCUGUUCCAAAUGCUAUUCCCGGAAGAACAGACAUUGAACUGGAAAUCUAUGGGAUGGAGGGCAUUCCAGAAAAAGAUAUGGAGGAACGGAGGAGGUUACUUGAACAAAAAACUCAGGAGAGCCAGAAAAAGAAACAACAGGAUGAUUCUGAUGAGUAUGAAGAUGACGAAUCUGCGGCUUCGACUUCAUUUCAACCCCAGCAGGUUCAGCCACAGCAGGGGUACAUUCCCCCAAUGGCACAGCCGGGUUUGCCUCCUGUGCCAGGUGCUCCAGGGAUGCCUCCAGGUAUUCCACCAUUAAUGGCAGGUGUUCCACCUAUGAUGCCUGGAAUGCCUCCAGUGAUGCCUGGAAUGCCACCUGGGAUGAUGCCAAUGGGUGGAAUGAUGCCUCCUGGGCCAGGAAUCCCACCUCUUAUGCCUGGUAUGCCACCAGGUAGGUCAGGGUUGUCGAACUCGUACUAUGGUAUGCCUCCCCCCGUGGGGCCGCGGCCUGGCAUGCCCCCAAUGACACAAGCACAGCCUGUCACAGCUCCAGGCAUCCUUAACCGGCCUCCAGCUCCUGCUGCAACAGCACCCACCCCACAGCCUCCAGUCACUAAACCACUCUUCCCAAGUGCGGGGCAGAUGGGGACACCUGUCACAAGCUCAAGUGCAGCUUCCUCCAAUUCAGAAAGUCUGUCAGCGUCUUCUAACGCUCUGUUUCCUAGCACAGCACAAGCUGCAGCAGCUGUGCCAGGGCCAGUUGGUACUGAUUUCAAACCUUUGAAUUCUACACCUGCAACGACAACAGAGCCCCCAAAACCUACAUUCCCUGCUUACACACAGUCCACAGCCUCAACCACUAGCACCACCAACAGUACUGCAGCUAAACCAGCCACAUCUAUAACAAGUAAGCCUGCUACCCUCACCACAACCAGUGCAACCAGUAAGUUGAUCCAUCCAGAUGAGGAUAUAUCACUGGAAGAGAGAAGGGCUCAGUUGCCCAAGUACCAGCGCAAUCUUCCUCGGCCAGGACAGGCUGCCCUGGGUAAUCCACCAGUUGGACCAAUUGGAGGUAUGAUGCCACCACAGCCAGGAAUUCCUCCACAGCAACAAGGAAUGAGACCUCCCAUGCCACCUCAUGGUCAGUAUGGUGCUCAUCACCAGGGCAUGCCAGGAUAUCUUCCUGGGGCCAUGCCUCCAUACGGUCAGGGACCUCCGAUGGUGCCCCCGUACCAAAGUGGACCUCCUCGACCUCCCAUGGGAAUGAGACCCCCCGUAAUGUCGCAAGGUGGCCGCUACUGACGCUCCUCCUCACGCUCUAAUAGGUUUUUAGAAGUGAAGUGUAGUAAAUAUGGUUCGUUAAAUUGUGAAGGCGCUGGAAUUACAUGAACAUACCACCUUAAAGCCCUGCCAUAGGACAGGCUGAGGCAGAGUCUCAGUGUUGCCCUGUUCAGUCUGAGGCAAGUGGGAUUUAUUUUAUUCAUUCUGGGGGCUUUCACAGCUUUAUGGCUGUUGGAUAUUUAUGUCCCCAAACUUGCAGCAAGUUUGGUGAAGGCCCCUAAAUUUAUUUUAAUUUAGGUUUUUUAUUCUCUUUUGGUAGAUGGGCUCUAUAUUAAUAUUUAUCUUUUUAUUAUCGUUGUGAUUUUAAGAGUCUUAGGGGGAGGGAGGCUGUUUUAAGAUGUUUGGGUACCUUUUCUCUUGGAAUGCAUUUCCUUUGAGGCUGCUCAGGGGGUCCUUCAGCCACACUGCCCCUCCCCACCUUUCCCUGCAUUGCAUUUGUGCUGUAUUUGUUUUGGGGUUUGGUAGUGUUGACUUUGUGUAGUCUCUGAAUUAGUGGCAUGUAAAUACCAAGUACUAAUGUUUCCUCUUCUGGGGAGAUGGAUCUGUUGAAGUGCUUAAAAUAGGUUUUACCCAGCAGGUGACAUUUAUAGGCACCAAAUUGUGUAGCCCAAAUUCCAGAACAGUUUCUUUGCAGAAGGUUGAGAUGUUAAUCCUGCUGCAUACGUGAGCUGCACCUCAGCAAAUAUUAAUGUAGAGCCCUGGGAGGAACCUGAGGUUUGAUCCAAGUUGGUAACACAGAAUAGAAGAGUGAGAAAUGGAAACUGCAGAUUUUUCUUCUGGAGUUUCUGGAAGAACCUUUUCCUCAACCUCUCCAAUACACCAAACUCAACAGUAUUUGGACUGUUGCAACAAUAGUGAAAGUCACAGCAGUUUUUUUUAAACUUUGUGGAAUUCUGUUGCAUAUUCAAAAUUUGCUUAGUUAUGUUUAUUUGAAGUUCCUUCUCUCACACAGUGACUAGCAAAAAAUUGUACCCUUUGUGAAGGAAAAGCUGCUCGCUCUGGUGCAAAUACAUUGAAGCUUGAGGUUGCUUAAAGACAACUUCAGCUUCAGAAGAGCAGGUUUUGUCCAAGGAGGUCUUGCAGCCUAUCAGCAGUGAAAUAGAAAAUAAAUGUAGGAGUCUGAUUUUACAAUUUUUUUUCAGGUUUUCAAAAUUUAUGGUAGUUUUUGAUGAGCAUACACUCUGUCUUAUUUCUUCAAGAUUUUGCUAAAUAAUGGCCCCCAAUGGGAUUUUCAGUAAUUUGAAUUCAAGGACAGAGUUGUAAUUCUUAACUUAGAAGAGUGAUUGCACAUUCCUGUUGUGCCCUUCUUUGCUUGUACUCUGCCCUUUGCAUUUUUCCUGGAGAAGACCCCUCCAAGUCACCCAGUCUGGCUGGAAAAUUGUCCUCUGACUGUUCCAAAAUAGUUACUGAGCAUGGCCUUGCUUUUCUAAUUCUCAUUGUGGUGCUCUCCCAAUAACAGUGAAGAUGAGAACAACUCUUCAACUAGGAUUUGUUUCACUUUCUUAGUUUACAGGAGCAUUUGGUUUAUUCUUAUUUCCCUACAAUGUCCAAGGAAACUGUUUAACCCAAAAUAAUAGUGUGGGUUGUACUUCUUACUUUAGGUAUCUGAAUCUUGUGGAGACUCAAAGUGAAAAAUAGGCAAAUUUCAAAUGCCUGAUCCUGAACUUUUUUCCCCGUUUCCAUUUAAGACUGAUGCAGCAGUAGGUGGACUCUAUCCAGCUCCUCAUGUUCAGCCUGUCAUCAAGCCCACAAAGCUCAAAUUCAGAUACAUGUGCUGUCUUGUGUCCAGUGAAGUACCCACUUAGAUCCACACUGGGGUUAUGCCUUAUAAACUGAUACCCUGGUGAGAGCUGAAAGUUUCCCAGUUCAGGGAGAUUGCUUUUAUCUGGUUUUGUUGAAGUUAUUUUUUUCCCAUGAACAUGUCAAAUCAGUUCUCCAAAAUGCAGUUCCUGUUUUCACUGUGUCAUUGUUUAACCUCUGUAUACUAAUCCUUCAGAGCAAAUGAACCAUUUCUUUAUGUUUUGGCAUGUUUUGUGAGCAAAAUAUAACAUUUUUUCAGCACCACAUUGCUGUGGGAUUUUUUUUCCUUAAAGGUGCUUUUAAGCAAUUCCAGGAAGUUUAAUUUCACACUACCUGCUUUUGAAUGAUGCAUUUGACGUUAAGACAGUUCUGUGGGGCGUUACUGUAUGAAUUAAAGGUUUUCUGGCUGGAUUUUCCUGCUCCACUGCAAACACUGCUUGUGGUUUCUGGUGGGUAGUUCACCCCCUUCACUUCCCCUGGGCAUUCCUGUCCUUUCUGUAAGUCACUGAAGGACUGGAUGGGACAGGUCCUGUUUCUUCCCUCUUUGGGAGUUGGUAGCAUUGGCAGAUGGCAUUGGAGUUAUUCUGAUGUUACCACAGACUGAUGUUUGUCCUUAAAUUGGCAGCAACAAUGACUUUCCUUUGCUUUGUGUUUUGUCCUUAAGCGACAUGUGCAAGUGCUGCUGUCCUUGUAGUCCCCAGGAUGACAUAAAGUGCUUUUUGCUGGGAGUAUCUCCUCAGCUGUUAGACCAGCUGGCCUCUCAUCUCUUUGAAAUGACUCGUAAAAGUCUCAUCUGGUGUAAAUGGUUCAUGUCUUGCUCUUUUUGUGACGUUUCCUUAGUGAUAUUUUCCUCCCUGCCUCCUCGUGUGGAUCUAAGGGGGAUAGUUAAAAUAAUUUGUAGUCUUUACUUUGAGGGAUGAAGUGUGUUCCUCCUUGCAUUCCAGUAUUGCAGCAGCUUGUGUAUCACGAAGUUGUACAUCUUGCUGUUUGUGACUAUUCUAAUUAUGGCAAUAUUUUAGUGACUUUUAUAGAUAUUAACAGAGGUAGGUCUCGGAGUUCAGGGGUUUUUUAAGCUUAAGUAGAAGUACAUGACUUUUACUCAAGGGGCAGGAGUUACUGAUACUCUGCUAAAUUGGGUAAAUUUGCACCCGUGUUAAACAAGAGAAGUGAAUGGGAGAUGUGGUAAAUAAAGUACACACCACACAUGAGGGACUCCAAAAAAAUCUGUGCUUGCCAUCAAAAUACUCAGAGCAGUGAAACAGUGCCUGGGUUCUGUAGGAAUGCAGUGCUGGUGACUCCCACAUUGUGUGCAGUAGCUGGGCUGGGGAGGUUGUUCAGAGUAAGGGAGGUUUUGGGGCAGCUGUUGAAGGGAUCAGGAUGAAUUCAGGUGAUUCUACAGUGUAAUGUGAUAACAUUUUUUUGGAGGUCCUGAGGAACACGUGGGGUUUCCUUGCACACUGUGAGCAGCAGCUCUGGGCAGCCUUGGUUGGCAGAGCCCAGAUUCCCAGGAAGGCUGGGCUGGAGGAAAUGCAUCUUUACUUUAGUCUUGUGCCCGUGUGUCUGAGGGAGCUGGGCACUGGAGCCUCAGCCAUGUCCUGUCCUGACUGCAGGAUCCAGGGGGUUAUCCUUGGGAUUUGUUCUGGGCAUCCUGGGGAGGCAGUUCUGGCUGACCCUGGUGUGAAUAGCUGGAGGGUUGGUAUUUAUAUACCUGGUCCCUGCUGUGAGUAGUGAGGCACUGGCACCUUCUGAACAAGCUUUCAGGAACCUCUGACAUUCUUAGGGGCUUGCUUGCAGUGGGGACAGUCAGCAGCACGGCUGUUUUAGUGGCAGGGAAUUUAACUUCUCCAGAAAUACAGUCUUGAACUUAAAGUUUUUUAAGAAAACAGAAUUUUAAUGCCAGUAUCAUCUUAACUGAAAGUGAAAAAGCACAAACUUUGAGAGCUUGAAAGCUUCCUUAAAAAUUCUCUUGUUGGCAGCGAAACAAGGUCUAACUGCCUUAGAAGAGAUUCAAGCUUCUGAUAUCUCAAAUUUUUUUCCUUGAAUUUUGUCUAAAUCUUUACCAUGUUCCCAGGUGCUAUUCAGAAGGGGGUGGGGGUGCUGUGUAGAAUUUCAGCUGCUGCUGCCUGUAGUAGCCAAUAUGAGUAGCUGUUUUUUGGUGACAGUAAUUUUGAAUUACCAGAAAUUAGUGCAAUACAACCAGGGGAAGCUAUUUCACUGUCUCCCAACUUAAAAAAUUACAUAAAGCUUUGAGUUCAGGGUAUCAUGCAGAGCUUUUUUUCUUUCUCUUUUUUCAUUGAGUUACUUGCACUGAAUUCUUUAGCUUCUUUCUCAUAAAUCUAAGUGGAAGAAAAUACAUUUUACUUUUUCAUUUGUAAAGUCCAGAAUAAGAAAACACACUUUAUGAGACUUAAAUGAAGGAACCUGGCAAUGUAAGUAUUGUAAUUUCCUUUAUGUUUGUGGUAGGCAAUAGGAUGACCUUGUUAAAUUUAUGGGUUAUGUAUGAAAAAAUAUCAGAAGAGUAAGGGCAAAUUGAAAAUAAUUUUAUAGUCGCCUUUACUUCAUAUGCUUUUCUUAAGCAACAAAUUGCAAUAAUUGAAGUUUGGCAGCUUUUUCUUUUUUUUUUUUUUUUUAAUAAAAAACUAAAUUAUGGGUUAAACACCUUGGUUUAAUACAAUUUGUGUUUCUGUUAACUAGCAGCAGAAUUUCAGCAUUUGCUACUUACUGGUAGAGAAGAAAAAUUCCACAGCACUGCCAGUACAGGUUAGUUUAAUCUGUAAGUACCUGAUGUUCCUAUUUGAAUUAAUUUGUUCAAAUGAUACCACUUAAAUACAUGAGGGGAAUUUUGGUCUCUGAACUGUGAUUGUUAUCUACUACUGAUUUCAGUAGUGAGUGAACAUCUAGAUUUUUUUUUUUUGGAAGAUCUGUAAUGGAUUUAACUGUGCUUGUGGGCAGGUAAUAAAUACCUGCAAGCACCUUUAAGGAAAAUUUAAUACAGAACCUUAACAAAUACCCUUUGAUGUUACUGGAAAGUUUUGAAAUCACUUCAGUAACAUGCCUUUAUCGAUGAGGCUGUUUUUUAUCAGCAAACCAACAGGAUCCUGUGUUUGUUGUGUUGGGGAUUAAGCAUUUCUGUUUGUAAACUCCAUAGCAGUAAUGUAAUCCUUGGAUUUUCUUUAGCUAUUACUAAUUACCAUUUCCUACCAACAGAUUUUUACUUUGCUAGGCCUGUGAGCCAGGAGCUUGUUCUUCUCUGCUUUUUUUAAUCAUUAUUUUUGUUAGUCCAUUGCAGCACUUCAGAGGCUACCUACAAAUGUGGUUUUGUCCAGCUGUUUUAUCUUACUCCAGAGUUACUGCUGUGCCUCUAUUUUACUUCUGCCCUAUCCCAUAUUCUCAGAUAUUCUGACAUUUUAUUUUUAUUUUAUAGAAUAUUUUACACCUUAAAAGAAAACAGGAGAGGUUCUUUGUGAUGGGAUAGAAGAUGCACCUUUCUCCAGAAUGGCUGCAUCCAUCUAUUUUUAUUUAGACUUUAUGUAUCUCAUUUCUACAUAUCAGCACAGGAGAUAAAAACUUUUUCUGUGCUGUAGCACCAAGCAUAGAUCCACAGCUGGAUGGGCUGUAGAUCUGUGCUUUAAUUCACUUUUUGAGGCCAUGUUAUCACACUCUGAGGGACUUUUGACAUUGUAGAUGGAUAAUUCCAUAGACAGUAGGUACUUGAAGGGUCAGAGUAAAGUGGGAGCUGAACAGACACUUCAGUUGUGCAGCUUAUCUGGAGGGGCUGGAGUGAGUUUAUGAGUGUCUUGCCACUUGCAGUGGUACUGUUUAUUUUAGAAUUCUGGAAUCUUACACAGUGCUGCAGAAUUCAGACCACCACACACACUUUCAAGGGGAUUGUGUCUUCCCAGGCUCACAGGAGUUACACUUGCAGCCCAUCUCUGGCAUCUUCUUUACACCAGUUCUCAGUACUUCACACUAAACUGCUUUGUCUGCAAAACUAAUGUUGCACAGAUGCUUCUCCCUAGCAGGAAAAAAAAGGGCAGUCCUAUAUAGUGAAAUUUCUAACUUAGCUUUACCUGUAUUUGCUUCACCUUGGUGGCAGGUGUGUGUGAGCAGUAGGGAUCCCUUGCUGUGAGGCUGUUCUGGUAACAGGGUGUAUCCACGUUUCUUGUAACCUCUGUGGGUGACCCCAGUUCAUACUGCAACACUGAGUACUGAGCUGGGGUGAGGAACUGAUGGCUCUUGGCUGCUCAGGUACCUCAUGAAGUCCUGGUUUUCACAGUGGCUGGGUGCCACCUGCACUGCUGGUACCCCAGCCUGGCAGUCCGUGGGGAUAACUAACGGGUACAGUGUGUUCCAGACUGUCUUAACCAAAACCAAGUGCAUCUGUCCAGGGUAGGUCCUGCUAGGCCUCUGGUGGAACAUCAUCUCUGGGAUGUCCAGUCUCAAGUGGUUCAGCACUCUUCUUCCCCAGUUCUGGUACAGUAUAUAUGGAAGAGGUUGGCAUUUCCCACUAUUUCCUUAGACUUCUUGCUGACUCCCAAUUGCUCCUUCAGGGUUUCUGGACACUGUGCAGUGAACCCAAACUGAGCAAACUCCAAGCUGGUUUUAGUACCUUCAUAGAGCACGUGAGUGAGUUGUCCCCUCUCAGUAGCAGUACAGCCACAGAAAUGAAUGUGUUGUGAAGGUUUUUUCUGUCACUUGAUACUGCUUUCGUGUAAGUGGUAUGAAAGGGCUGGGAUUACUGAUCUUUUUCAAAAGACAGGUGGUGGCAAAAUACUGAUGUUGAAUUUAAUUGGACAAAGUGAGAGACUGGUAAGUAUGUGCAUCACUUUAAUGCAUGCAAAUAGUAACAUAACUAGCUUAAUUUUAUAGCAUUCAGUUUACAAAGAAGAUUCAAAGAAAACAUGGAGCAAACAUUUGCAUCCACUGGGAACCUUUUAUGAACUGUGUGCUUCAGCAAUGGAUCAUUGCACAUAUCUGUAAUGUGUAACCACUUUGUAACAGUGUCUGAUUAAAAGAAGUGAACCACU